GCCAAAGAGCGGGCCUAGGAUACAGACAGCUGGGAACAGCACGCUCACAUCACGUGAUACAGAGGGAGUGGAGGAGAAGCCACAUGAUGGGGUGGUUAGGGAAGGCUUUCAAAGGUCAUGUUUGAACCAGUCCUGAGUGGUGGACAGGGGUAGUCAGGCAAAUAUCUGGGCCCAGAGUAUUCCAGGUGAAGAGAUAAGCGGUUACGGGAACCACAGAUGGGGACCGAGGGCCACGGGUGACGAGCCGCUCGGAAGAAAGCAACGUAGGGCAGACUAUAAGCUGCCUACGACUUGAGCGGGGAGCCGAGCACGUGGAGCUCUGUAGUUGCUCAGGAGAGGUCCGGUGAUGCGAAUGAGAAGCUGCCCUUUUGGAAUCCUCAUCCCAGAACCCUGGACAGUACCUGGACACAGUGUCUUUUAAAAAUCUCCUCAAAGUACCAAUGGUUUAAUAAAAUCUGGAAUGCUUACGUGGCUCAGAUCUGGGAACUGAAGCAACAAACCCAACUGCCCAAGCUGGUUUUCCAUGAGCAUGUGGAGGUGGCCGUGGCUGGGAGACUGCACUGUAUUUCCUGCAACCCAGGAAGCAAUUGGGUGGACAGGCAGGUUCAGCCUCUGCACGUGCCUCAGAGACAGCUCUCCUGGCAGGUGGACGUUGGCUGGUGAGUGCUGUUUGCACUAGCCGAGAGCUGGAAACGACAACCUUCUAGAAAGAGGGGUUGGUUACAUAAGCAUUCCGCAUCUAUACAGAAAAAUUCUAGCAGGAAUUACAAAGAUAAAAAUACUAAUAUCAACAGAAAAAAAUCACUCUAAAAGGAAUACAUUGUAAAGUGAAAAAUAAAAAAUGGCUUGGCUAUCAAAUGUCAUAUACACUCUUGACCCAUUUUGUAUGUUAAUCUAUGUAUAUACAUAUGUAGAAGACUAUAGAACAAUGCCGAUAUUAUUUAUCUUUUGGGAAUGGAGUCAUAUUGAAUUGCUUGAGUUUUGUGUAUACUUAUAAUAAGAAAAAUUCAAAUAGUAUAAUACAAGUAGCUUGAUUAAUAUUUUAAUAAUAUAUUUAUACUAGGAAAUACUGCAGAAGAGUGCAAGGACUGAAAUAAACACCCAUGGAAGUCUCACGCCAAUGGAAUAUUUAUGUUAAUAUUUUACUCUGGUGUUCUAAAAGAAUUCUUUACACAUUAAUAUGAAAUGCAGCCAAAUAUGUUAUAUCCAGGAUUACCAUGCCAUGCUCUUGACAUUGCUCGUUUUCUUUUAAACCCAAGUAAAUACGAGGAGAUUCAAGUUGUAUUCUUCUCCCUGAACGCUAUUUAGUUUAGGUAAUCUUGUGCUUCCUCAGUUUCCUACUUACAGAUGUUUAAGAUUCUGAAUUUAAUUCAGAUUAUUUUCUAGUUUGAAGAACAUCCUCAUACAUUGUUGCAAUGAAAUCAUUCUAAGACAUUUAAAAGUUCUCACUUUUCAGUUAGAGCCCCUAAAACACUUGCUGAGCUCAGCUUGCAACGUCUACCCCGGGCAGCAGACAAAGACGGCCUCAUGACAGUGAACAUGUUGGUCAUCUGGUUCGGGAAGCUUCUAUGCCACACAAUAUUUCCCCCCAGUAGGCAGUUUCAUUACCUAACAGGGAUCACAUCUUUGCCCUUUGUAUCCAGUAUCUGAGGCAGGGAAGCAUUUGUUCUAGUCAAUCCUCGUGAAUAAAUUAAAGAACUGAUUCUGAUUUAUAGUAGACUACUGCUUUCAUUGUCAUUUAUUGGCCUUUAUGUAAAGCCUUGAAUUUGCUUAGGCUCAAAGCCAGUGCCUUCUUCACUGUCUUCCGCACACAUGGCCCUGCCAGCUUGUGGGUACCCACGUGUGUAGGUCUCCAAAGCCUUGGCACUUGCUUUUUUCUCCCUUAUUUUUCUGUUUCUUAUUUUGAUGAUUUAUUAAAAACUAGACUAUUACUGAGAAAAAAAUAUAUAAGGAAGAAAAUUCCAGAGACGGGUUUCAGAACUUCAAACCAGUAGCAAUGAAAAUGGCAUUCACAUAGAAGUUCGGGAAAGUUGCAUAGCAGAACAAAGACUUCUUUUAUGACACACAGCUGGUUUGACCACAGUUUCAGUAAGUGACAGCCAAAUACAGAAACGAAGCUUGCUGACUCAGUCUGCUGCACUAACCACCAAACUCAGGCAGCUCCUCCCUUCGCUCUGCAGGGCAGAAACACAGGGCCUGCAGAUGCUGCCCUUUCUGAAGCAGGCAGGCUGCUGGAAAAUGGCCAGUUCUGGAGGCUGCCCGGUGUAGUGUGUCAUUUUACCAGAUGGGUGCCACACCCAGACACCUUGGAAAGGUUCUCAUGGUGGAAAUGAGGUCAUCUCAAAGCUUAGUAUUAUGUGGAAAUAAUCCUGAGUGCCAACAAAUAUUCCUGUGGAAAAUGGAAUGCUUUAUUCUUGGUUUCAAAAUUCCCUUACUUAUUUUCUUCCAGUCCUCGUGUCUACGAAUGACCCUGAAGAGACUGAGAGACUUUUUAUUAACCCACGAAAUUAGCAUCACUGUGCAACUUAAAUCACUCGUCUGUUUGCUAAGAGCCACAUGCAUUGUUUCAUGCAGGCCCAAUGUUGUUCAACCUCAAGUGCUUCUCCAUUUUUCUCUCUGUAAUUAAUUGUACAAAACAAAGAAUUUCAUUUUGGUAUUUUCAUACGUGUUUUUAUCAUAUUGGGAUUAUAUCCACCUCCCGUUGUCUUUUCUUACCCUGCCCCUUCUCAUCCUAGUCUCCUUACUCCCCCUUUUACUUUUAUGCCCUCCUCUUCCUAUCCCUUUGCAAAAACAGAUGCCAAAGAAGACACACAGUACUCUCUUUCUGAAUUUAUCGUAUUUCACUCAACACGAUGAUCCUCAGUUUCAUCCUUCUGUGUGUGGACAACACGACUUUCUUCUUCUUUAUGGGUAACUAAUAUUCCACUGCGUAUGUACAUUUCUAUUCAUUCAUCUCAGCGAACAGCAGACUGGUUCCACAGCUGAGCUCUGGUGAGUACCGUUGGUGAACACAGCCAUACAAAAGUUUCUGCAGUUUACUGACUUGGAUUCUGUCACAGAUAUCCAGAAAUGCUACAGCUGCACCAUAUGACAGUUCUAUUUUCUGAAGAACUUCCAUACUGAUUUCCAUAUUGUCUAGUUUAAUUUACAUCCCUGCAAAGGGAAUAAAGGCUCCCCCUCAUGUCCUCACCAGUAUUUGUGGUGGUUUUUGUGGUGGUCACUGUUCUGGUGGGGAUGAGAUGGAAUCUCACUGUACCUUUGAUUUGUAUCUCCCUGGUAGCCAAAGCUCUUGUCUCUUCUCUCUGUUAAUUGUCCUUCGCUAUGCAGAAUUAUUUAAUUUUAUUGGUAAAUAAAGCAUUUCCUUCUCAGGUCAUUGCCAGCUGUGUCGGUGAUACACGCCAGUGAUCACAGACCUCAGGAGGCUGAUGCAGGAAGUUUACAAGUUCAAGGCCUAGGCUACCUCCUCACUGGAAUGUGCUGUCUGUUGCUGUGCUGGGACCUUUUAGUCGUAUGAGGGCCUGUUUUUCAAUUGCUGCUGUUAAUGCCAGGCCUACAGGUGUCCUGCUCAGAAGUUUUCUUCCUGUGUCAAGUAGUUCAGUCUUAAACAAGCAGCCUGUCUCAACACUCUGCCCAGCUAUCUCACUUGGAGAUAUGAGGAGUUACAAAAUGGAUCUCUUCUCUGAUGCUGGCCUGGGACACAGAAAGAUUCAUUGUUACAUCAAAUCGCCUUGCUGAUUUGAAGGUGUACCAGAACUGUGGGUUUGACUGGGACUGUCAGUUCCUUUCAUGAGAUCUCAUGGCUUUAUCCUCCUCUCCCCCUUGAGGAGUGGGAAAUGGAGCUGCAGGCUUUUCCCUAUGUGUCUCUGAAUAGCGUUUCUG